UGGGGGAUUUUGCACAAUGGGCGCAAGCCUGAUGCAGCGACGCCGCGUGAGGGAUGAAGGCCUUCGGGUUGUAAACCUCUUUCGCUGGGUUGAAAGGCCAUGCUUUGGGUGUGGUUGAUUUGAACUGGUAAAGAAGUACCGGCUAACUACGUGCCAGCAGCCGCGGUAAUACGUAGGGUACUAGCGUUGUCCGGAUUUAUUGGGCGUAAAGGGCUUGUAGGUGGUUUGUCGUGUCUGUCGUGAAAUCCUGUGGCUUAACCAUGGGCUUGCGGUGGGUACGGGCAGGCUUGAGUGCGGUAGGGGAGACUGGAAUUCCUGGUGUAGCGGUGGAAUGCGCAGAUAUCAGGAGGAACACCGGUGGCGAAGGCGGGUCUCUGGGCCGUUACUGACACUGAGGAGCGAAAGCGUGGGGAGCGAACAGG
rnacentral:rRNA from 1 species